rnacentral:rRNA from 1 species
AUUGAACGCUGGCGGCAUGCUUUACACAUGCAAGUCGAACGGUAACAGCACUUCGUUGGCUGACGAGUGGCGCACGGGUGAGUAAUACAUCGGAACGUGCCUAGUAGUUGGGGAUAACUACUCUAAAGAGUAGCUAAUACCGCAUGAGAUCUAAGGAUGAAAGCAGGGGACCUUCUGGCCUUGCUCUACUAGAGCGGCUGAGGGGCGAGUAUGUAGUUGGUGUGAUAAAAGCUUACCAAGCCGACGAUCUGGAGAUGUUCGGAGAGUAAGACCAGCGACAUGAGGACGGAGACACGGACCAUACUACUGCGGGAGGCAGCAGUGGGGAAUUUUGGACAAAGGGCGCAAGCCUGAUCCAACAAUGCCGCGUGCAGGAUGACGGCCUUCGGGUUGUAAACUGAUUUUGUACGGAAUGAAAAGCUCUCUUCUAAUACAGGAGGGUCAUGACGGUAACGGAAGAAUAAGCACCGGCUAACUACGUG